rnacentral:rRNA from 1 species
GUGGAGCACCGAGUCCUGGCGAACAAGAGCAAAGACACCGCUAGGGUCUCUGUGGCGUCCUUCUUCAACACCAACAUUGAGAGAUCGACGAGGUUGUAUGGCCCCAUCACCGAUGGACGCAACCCCCCGAUCUACAGGAGCGUCACCGCUAGAGAGUUCAUCGCAACGUUUAAUCGCAUAGGCCUUGAUGGUCGCUCGCUCGACCAGUACCGGUUGGACCGGGAUACUCCCACACCUGCCGUGGAGGGGUAUACCAAAAAUCAUGUCCUAGUGCUAGAUAAGUCAAGCAAGAGAUUUACCCCUCAAGAUGGAGGGAUACACACUGGGCCCUCUCAAUGCAUCUACGCGUUCUUCAGAACAACUUCAAUAUUACGAUGUCAAUUGAUGGAGCAAAACUAA